AAUAUUUUACAUACGUAGAAAACCUUUUCUAGUGGAAAAUAUUUUAGAUACGUAGAAAACCUUAUACCUAUACUUAAGCCUGGUAAAGGGCUGUAAAAAUCCAAGGGCCAAACCGAUCGGGCCUUAGAAGCUCAUAUAGGCCGAGCCUUAAAAGGCCUUCCCGAAGAAUGGGCAGGAUCAGAUCGGGCCAUCUCCAUAAAAGGGCUGACCUGUGAACGUGGCCCAUAAUCGAUCCUUGAGUCAAUUGGAAGGGCCGAGCCCGUGGAUCGCAGGAAAGGGCCUCUCCUCUUUUUCACGGCCUCUCCAGGCUCGUGCGGCGGCGGCGGCGCAAGAACUCAAGAUCCGGGCGGUGCGGGGGUGGGCGGCGCAAGGCUCGUGUGGCCUGUCCAGGCUCGUGUGGGGGUGGGCGGGGCCCGCGCGGGAUCCGGGCGGGCGGCGGCCGGCGGGACGGGCGAGCGGCGCGCCGCCGCGAGGCGCUCCCGUGGGGCCGGCCCCCGGCGGGCUCCGGCAGGGCGUGCGGCUAGGCCGACGCGCGGCGGCCAGCAAGAGCAGGCGGCCUCAGCAGCGGACGCAGGUGGCGUCGGCGUGCAGGAUUAUCCACAAGUCACAAGUCACUCUGCGAACCUGCUGGUUCUGACCUCAUUGUCUGAUGAUGACUGCAGUGAUAAAAUGAACUACAGCAGAAUGGUUUGUCUAGUUCACCUAUUGAGCUCAGUAUUGCUGCGACUGUCACUGUCAUUGCUUACGUUUCCUACUUUCAAAAAUUCUGCACCAGGAAAGUGGAAGUAGAUAAGAUGUCAUAAGGAAAAAGGUACAACAAUUUCACAAGGAAGGAGGGGUUCAUUGAUUUCAGAUUUUUUUUUUGAAAAAUUAGAAGUAUGAGUUUACUUGACACGGAAUACUUUAGAAUGAUGAAUAAAUGCAACUCUAAGGAAAAUUCAUAAGCAUUAUUGAGUAAACACGAGUUCUUUUCCAUGUUAAA